GUAGGGAAUAUUGGGCAAUGGAUGCAAGUCUGACCCAGCCAUCCCGCGUGCCGGAAGAAGGCCCUCAGGGUUGUAAACGGCUUUUGACGGUGAAGAAUCGACAGGAUGCGUCCUGUUUUGACGGUAGCCGUUGAAUAAGCACCGGCUAACUCCGUGCCAGCAGCCGCGGUAAUACGGAGGGUGCGAGCGUUGUCCGGAUUUAUUGGGUUUAAAGGGUGCGUAGGCUGGAAGGUCAGCCAGCGGUAGAAAGCUGUCGCUUAACGAUAGUCUUGCCGCAGAUACUUCCGUUGUUGGAUGAGGAGGAGGCCACUGGAACGGAUGGUGUAGCGGUGAAAUGCAUAGAUAUCAUCCAGAACACCGAUUGCGAAGGCAGGUGGCUGUACCUUAAUCGACGCUGAUGCACGAAAGCAUGGGGAGCAAACAGGAUUAGAUACCCGGGUAGUCC
rnacentral:rRNA from 1 species